rnacentral:rRNA from 1 species
AUACGUAGGUGGCAAGCGUUGUCCGGAAUUACUGGGCGUAAAGGGUCCGUAGGCGGUUCGGUAAGUCUCCUGUGAAAUCUCCAGGCUUAACUUGGAGCGGUCGGGGGAUACUGCCGGACUUGAGACUGUCAGAGGCAAGCGGAAUUCCCGGUGUAGUGGUGAAAUGCGUAGAUAUCGGGAGGAACACCAGUGGCGAAGGCGGCUUGCUGGGGCAGUUCUGACGCUGAGGGACGAAAGCGUGGGUAGCAAACCGGAUUAGAAACCCCAGUAGUCC